AUGGGCGAAAGCCUGAUGCAGCGACGCCGCGUGGGGGAUGACGGCCUUCGGGUUGUAAACCCCUUUCAGUAGGGAAGAAGCGAAAGUGACGGUACCUGCAGAAGAAGCGCCGGCUAACUACGUGCCAGCAGCCGCGGUAAUACGUAGGGCGCAAGCGUUGUCCGGAAUUAUUGGGCGUAAAGAGCUCGUAGGUGGCUUGUCGCGUCUGCCGUGAAAACCCGAGGCUCAACCUCGGGCGUGCGGUGGGUACGGGCAGGCUAGAGUGUGGUAGGGGAGACUGGAA
rnacentral:rRNA from 1 species